rnacentral:rRNA from 1 species
GAUGAACGCUGGCGGUCUGCUUAACACAUGCAAGUCGAACGGAAUCCUUCGGGAUUUAGUGGCGGACGGGUGAGUAACGCGGGAGAAUCUGCCUUCAGGUUCGGGACAACAGCUGGAAACGGCUGCUAAUACCGGAUGUGCCGAGAGGCGAAAGCUUUAGUGCCUGAAGAUGAGCUCGCGUCUGAUUAGCUAGUAGGAGUGGUAAUGGCACCCCUAGGCGACGAUCAGUAGCUGGUCUGAGAGGAUGAUCAGCCACACUGGGACUGAGACACGGCCCAGACUCCUACGGGAGGCAGCAGUGGGGAAUUUUCCGCAAUGGGCGCAAGCCUGACGGAGCAAGACCGCGUGAGGGAAGAAGGUCUGUGGAUUGUAAACCUCUUUUGAUGGGGAAGAAGACAGUGACGGUACCCAUCGAAUCAGCCUCGGCUAACUCCGUGCCAGCCGCCGCAGUAA